rnacentral:rRNA from 1 species
ACGGGAGGCAGCAGUGGGGGAUAUUGCACAAUGGAGGAAACUCUGAUGCAGCAACGCCGCGUGAGGGAAGAAGGUCUUCGGAUUGUAAACCUUUGUUUUUAGUGAAGAAUAAAUGACGGUAGCUAAAGAGGAAGCCACGGCUAACUACGUGCCAGCAGCCGCGGUAAUACGUAGGUGGCAAGCGUUGUCCGGAAUUACUGGGUGUAAAGGGUGCGCAGGCGGGACAGCAAGUUGGAUGUGAAAUACCGGAGCUCAACUCCGGAACUGCAUCCAAAACUGUUGUUCUUGAGUGAAGUAGAGGUAGGCGGAAUUCCGAGUGUAGCGGUGAAAUGCGUAGAUAUUCGGAGGAACACCAGUGGCGAAGGCGGCCUACUGGGCUUUAACUGACGCUGAGGCACGAAAGUAUGGGUAGCAAACAGGAUUAGAUACCCUGGUA